rnacentral:rRNA from 1 species
UACGUAGGGGGGCAAGCGUUGUCCGGAAUCAUUGGGCGUAAAGCGCGCGUAGGCGGCCCGGUAAGUCCGCUGUAAAAGUCCAGGGCUCAACCCUGGAAGCCGGUGGAUACUGUCGGGCUAGAGUCCGGAAGAGGCGAGUGGAAUUCCUGGUGUAGCGGUGGAAUGCGCAGAUAUCAGGAGGAACACCGAUGGCGAAGGCAGCUCGCUGGGACGGUACUGACGCUGAGACGCGAAAGCGUGGGGAGCGAACAGG